rnacentral:rRNA from 1 species
UACAGAGGUGGCAAGCGUUGUUCGGAAUUACUGGGCGUAAAGGGCUCGUAGGCGGUCUGUCGCGUCGGGAGUGAAAACUCAGGGCUUAACCCUGAGCCUGCUUCCGAUACGGGCAGACUAGAGGUAUGCAGGGGAGAACGGAAUUCCUGGUGUAGCGGUGGAAUGCGCAGAUAUCAGGAGGAACACCGGUGGCGAAGGCGGUUCUCUGGGCAUUACCUGACGCUGAGGAGCGAAAGUGUGGGGAGCGAACAGGG